UAAAAUUUAUAGAAUUAGGUAGUAAAGAAAUUUCUGAAACCUAAAGAAUUUGGCGGUAUUUUAAAUAAUUGGAGGAACCUGUUAUUUAAUUGAUAAUCCACAACAUAUCUUACCUAAAUUUUAUUUGUAUAUCGUCGUUUUGAUAAUAUUUAAAAAUUAUGAUCAAUAUUAAUAUAUUUUUUAAAUUCAGAUCAAGGUGCAGUAUGUUUAGGUUAUAAUGGGUUACAAUAUACUAAUAUAUAUAUAAUGAAUAUAAGUUUGAAAUUUAUAUUGAAAGUGGAUUCAAAAGUAAAAUUAAAUUAAAAAGUUUAUUUGAUUAAUAAUUUAAAAUAUGC
rnacentral:rRNA from 1 species